CGUCAGGUAGCUCAGUGAUCUAGACCAGUCGCCCGGCAAGCGAAAGACUGGGUUCGAUUCCCGGCCUAGCGA
rnacentral:tRNA from 1 species